rnacentral:rRNA from 1 species
UUUUCCGGUUGAUCCCGCCGGAGGUCACUGCUAUUGGGAUUCGAUUAAGCCAUGCGAGUCGAGAGGGUUCGGCCCUCGGCUGACGGCUCAGUAACACGUGGAUAAUCUGCCCUAAGGUGGAGGAUAACCUCGGGAAACUGAGAAUAAUACUCCAUAGGUCUAGGAGGCUGGAAUGCACCUAGGCUAAAAGUCUUGACGCCUUAGGAUGAGUCUGCGGACUAUCAGGUUGUAGUCAGGGUAAAGACCUGACUAGCCUACGACGGAUACGGGUUGUGAGAGCAAUAACCCGGAGAUGAUAUCUGAGACACGAUAUCAGGCCCUACGGGGCGCAGCAGGCGCGAAACCUUCACACUGCGCGAAAGCGUGAUGAGGGAAUCCCAAGUGUAUGCACGUAAGUGUAUACUGUUUCUAUGUUUAAAAAGCAUUGAGAGUAAGGGCCGGGCAAG